UACGUAGGGUGCGAGCGUUGUCCGGAUUUAUUGGGCGUAAAGAGCUCGUAGGCGGUGUGUCGCGUCGGCCGUGAAAACCUGGGGCUCAACUCUGGGCGUGCGGUCGAUACGGGCAUCACUUGAGUUCGGCAGGGGAGACUGGAAUUCCUGGUGUAGCGGUGAAAUGCGCAGAUAUCAGGAGGAACACCGGUGGCGAAGGCGGGUCUCUGGGCCGAUACUGACGCUGAGGAGCGAAAGCAUGGGUAGCGAACAGG
rnacentral:rRNA from 1 species